rnacentral:rRNA from 1 species
GAUGAACGCUAGCUACAGGCUUAACACAUGCAAGUCGAGGGGAAACGACAUCGAAAGCUUGCUUUUGAUGGGCGUCGACCGGCGCACGGGUGAGUAACGCGUAUCCAACCUGCCCAUCACUUGGGAAUAACCUUGCGAAAGUAAGACUAAUACCCAAUGUUAUCCCACGAAUGCAUCGGAAUGGGAUUAAAGAUUUAUCGGUGAUGGAUGGGGAUGCGUCUGAUUAGCUUGUUGGCGGGGUAACGGCCCACCAAGGCAACGAUCAGUAGGGGUUCUGAGAGGAAGGUACCCCACAUCGGAGCCGAGACACGGACCAAAAUCCUACGGAGGGCAGCAGUGAGGAAUAUUGGUCGAUGGGCGAGGGCCUGAACCAGCCAAGUAGCGUGCAGGAAGACGGCCCUAUGGGUUGUAAACUGCUUUUAUAAGGGAAUAAAGUGGGUCACGUGUGACUUUUUGCAUGUACCUUAUGAAUAAGGACCGGCUAAUUCCGUG